rnacentral:lncRNA from 1 species
UAAUAGCACCAAGAUGUUUCAAUAUUGAGAACAAGGAAUGCCAGGUCUCAGUAGCUAGGGAAAGUAUCCAUCCACUGCCCCUGUGACUUGUAUCAUCCCUCCUAAGGCUGGUGACUUCAGAGUUUGCCCUGGGAAUUUCUGAAGAUUGGAAUUUCUUCAUGCAGCCAGAAUCUAUCACUCAAGUGGUGACUACAACAUGUGCUCAGGAAAGUCCCGUGCACAAGACAAGGACAUCCAGUUCUGUUUUAAAACCAAGCUUGGAGUAGACCACACAGACAGCUCACCCACCCGCAUCGCCCCUGGAGCACGUCCAGCCUUCUGGUCCCUCGGUGGGUGCUUUUCUGUCUUCUAG